rnacentral:lncRNA from 1 species
UUUUGCAAUUGCGCCUUGAGCCAAAUUUUAUAGAACCAGACUUAUCGGAUGCAUUACAUAGUCUUUGGAAGAAUGAUAUUCCAUCCAAGAUGGGAGUAUUUGGAUGGCGUUUGCUACUCGACAAAUUACCGACUCAAGCGGCUUUAACUUCAAAAGGUAUUUUGUCUAAUCCACACGAUUUACCGUGCGUAUUUUGUUAUCAAGAAGUCGAGGAUUGUUUUCAUCUUUUCUUUAAUUGUUGCAAAGUCCAAGAAUUGUGGAGGAAAGUAUUUUUGUGGAUGGGUUUUGAUUCUAGCUUACAGGAAGGUGG